rnacentral:tRNA from 1 species
UCCCUGGUGGUCCAGUGGUUAGGACUCCAUGCUUCCACUGCAUGGGGACCAGGUUUAACUCCUGGUCAGGGAA